UUAUUAUGUAUCUACAAUCGCUGUAUUUUUAUAUCCGAUACUUUUCAAAGUCAUGAAAUUACCGUUAUAAAUCACAUCAACCCACACGUCACCGCUCUCGGUCGUGCGCAUGCGCAGACCAGUGCAGGGAGCUGUCCGCGGCAGUUGGUGCUCGAGCGUUUUACCCGCAGCAGCUUCACCGGACACAUCGCUACCGGAGACAUGGAGGAAGAGCUAAAAUGCCCCGUUUGUGGUUCCUUCUUCAGGGACCCCAUCCUGCUGCCGUGCUCCCACAAUGUCUGCCUGCUGUGCGCCCGGAACAUCACCGUCCAGACGCCGGACGGGGAGACUCCGGUCCAGAGCCGAGCCUCCGGAAGCUCCGACUACGACUACCUGGACAUGGACAAGAUGAGUCUGUACAGCGAGACGGACAGCGGCUACGGCUCCUACACCCCCUGCCAGUUGAAGUCUCCGAACGGCGUUCGGGUAUUUCCGCCGGUCGCCCCGCAUCGGAACUGCUCCCUCACCUGUCCGCUGUGCCACCGGAGCGUGUCCCUGGAUGAGCGGGGUCUCCGGGGGUUUCCUCGGAACCGGCUUCUGGAGGCCAUUGUGGUGCGGUACCAGCAGACCCGCGGCAUCCCGUGUUCGGCAUCCCCCUCCGCGGUGAAGUGUCAGCUGUGCGACCGCAACCCGGUGGUCGCCACGGUGAUGUGCGAGCAGUGCGACGUCUAUUACUGUAACGCCUGUCAGCAGCGGUGCCACCCGUCCCGCGGUCCGCUGGCGAAGCACCGCCUGGUACCGCCGCCGUCGCCGAAUCAAGCGGCUGGAGGAGCAGCGAGCGGCGGCGGUGCUGGGGGUCAGCAGCCGGUGCUGACCGCGCGGAAAGCGGGGACCUGCGUGGAUCAUGAGGCGGAAAACUUCAGCAUGUACUGCUGCAGCUGCAAGGCUCCGGUGUGCAUGAAGUGUUUGGAGGAGGGGAAACACGCCAAGCACGACGUCAAACCGCUGGCUGUGAUGUGGAAGCAACACAAGUGCCAGCUCUCCCAGGCUCUGAACGGCGUCUCUGACAAAGCAAAAGAGGCCAAAGAGUUCCUGGUUCAGCUCAAGAACAUGCUGCAGCAGAUACAGGAGAACGGAGUGGAGUUUGAAGCCUGCCUUGUGGCUCAGUGUGACUCUCUGAUCGAGGCGCUGACGAGACAGAAAGCCAAGCUGCUCACCAAAGUCACCAAGGAGAAGGAGUACAAGCUGAAGGUGGUGCGAGACCAGAUCACCCACUGCACCAUGAAGCUGAGGCAGACCACCGGCAUGAUGGAGUACUGCCUGGAGGUCCUGAAGGAGAACGACCCCAGUGGCUUCCUGCAGAUCUCGGACGCCCUGAUCAAGCGGGUGACGUCGUCCCAGGACCAGUGGGUGAAAGGGGCCCUGGAGCCAAAGGUCGGCCCCGACUUUGACCUCAGCCUGAACACCGACUCGCUGAUGCAGACCAUCCUGCAGCUGGACUUCUGCCAGGGCAAAGAUGUGCAGGAGAAACCGCUUUUGAAACUAAUGCAGGCAGCAGCAGACAGUGGUGAGGCUGAGAUGGAGGCCGAGAGCCCCGGAGUGGAUUUAGGACCCGCGGUGCCAGUGGCGCCUCUACUACAGCUGGAGAAAUGCUGCACCAGGAACAACAGCGCCACCCUGGCCUGGAGGGUAACUGCGCCUGCCAGUUGCCCCAUUGAGGGCUACAUCCUGGAGCUGGACGAUGGGAAUGGAGGGCAAUACAGGGAGGUGUAUGUGGGGAAGGAGACGGUCUGCACGGUGGACGGCCUGCACUUCAACAGCGCCUACAACGCCAGGGUGAAAGCCUACAACGCCGUCGGAGUCGGACCGUACAGCAAGACGGUGGUGCUCAAGACUUCUGACGUGGCUUGGUUCACCUUUGACCCCACCUCGGCUCAUCGUGACAUUGUUCUGUCUAAUGAGAAUCAGACGGCUACGUGUAGCAGCUACGACGACCGCGUGGUUCUGGGGACGGCUGCGUUCUCAAAGGGAACUCACUAUUGGGAAGUCACCAUUGAUCGCUAUGACAACCACCCGGACCCUGCCUUCGGCGUGGCGAGGAUCAACACCAUGAAAGAAAUGAUGCUGGGGAAGGACGACAAGGCCUGGGCCAUGUAUGUGGACAACAACCGGUCCUGGUUCAUGCAUAACAACUCCCACACCAACAGAGCGGAGGGCGGCAUCACGAAGGGCUCCACUGUGGGCAUCCUGCUGGACCUGACCAAACGCACCCUGACCUUCUUCAUAAACAAGGAGCAGCACGGACCAACAGCCUUCGAGAACCUGGACGGCGUUUUUGUUCCUGCUGUCAGCCUUAACAGAAACGUUCAGGUGACCUUACUGACCGGCCUGGAGGUGCCAAAGAAUAUCAAACAGUAGGAGCUCAUUCCUCCUUCCUGUGUGCCCUGGAUACAAACCUCUGAUGUCACAUUCAGACUCACCUCUAUGUUUUCCUGAAACAUCAGGUUGGGUUCUUCCCAUCCUCCUCGAGGUUGAACCACGUCUGCUGCUGCAUUUUUCAUUAGGGACCAAAUACGGCUACCUGGAGAGGACAGUAGCUUAAACCAGACCACUGUGACCUGAUGGCUGUAGGAUACGUGAAAUUACCAAUGUCUAAGAACACAACACAUCGAUGGAAAGGUUUGUUAUUAAAAGCUGAAGGUGUUUAAUAUUGAGUGUCAUUACAUCUACUUUGCUUUUUCUCUUUUCCCUAAGAACAUGAGUGAGAAUAGCCUGACCUGCCAUAUAAAACUGGACUAAUGUGUGGAUGAAAAUCGACAAACUGUAGAUACUGAUAUGUGACUUGUGAUAUUAAGCAUGGAUUGACAAGCAAGUUUGCAAACUGUCUGAAAAUGUUCUGUAAAUAAUGUUUUAUUGUCUCUGCAAUGAGUGAUGUUGUUAUGAGCUGUAACAGGUCGCACCCUGCUGGCCAAUGUUGGGAACUGCAGCUCCUCAGACGUUCAGCUGAAACAUUGACUCAUUGAAUUGUAAAAAUAUGUUAAAAUUCCCUCCAUAAUUUAAAAUAUUUGAGCAUUUAAUCAGGGAUAUGUGACAUGUAGAUUAUGCUUUGAGGUUUAUGGUUAUUUAAUGAUGAACUAGUAUACUGCUCAUAUGGCAAAUGCCAGUAUUAUUUUACACAGCGUGAACGAACUCAAAUGCGCAACGAAGGAAAAACCUGGUAUUUUUACUGCAUUCGAUCAGGUAAUGUUUUUAUUAAAAGUCAUGUAGUAUGUUUUGUAUUUUCUAAACAUAUUUAUCUUUUAAAUAGAAGAAGCCAGUGGAAGAAUGAUAUCUAGACCUUCUAAUUUAUUAAACAUAUGAUGAUAUAUUUA